rnacentral:rRNA from 1 species
GUUGUAUGGUUAAGUGACUAAGCGUACACGGUGGAUGCCUUGGCAGUCAGAGGCGAUGAAGGACGUAGUAACUUGCGAUAAGCCCAGAUUAGGUAGUAACAACCAUUUGAGUCUGGGAUUUCCGAAUGGGGAAACCCACUUACAUAAGUAAGUAUC